rnacentral:rRNA from 1 species
GAUGAACGCUGGCGGCGUGCCUAAUACAUGCAAGUCGAGCGAAGCGGGGACGGGUGAGUAACACGUGGAUAACCUCCUAUAAGACUGGGAUAACUUCUGGAAACCGUAGCUAAACCGGAUACUUAUCAAUGUACCCGCGCUGCAUUAGCUAGUUGGUAAGUUAACGGCUUACCAAGUCAACGAUGCAUAGCCGACCUGAGAGGGUGAUGGGCCACACUGGACCUGAGACACGGUCCGGACUCAUACGGGAGGCAGCGUAAGGGAAUCUUCCGCAAUGGGCGAAAGCCUGACGGAGAAACGCCGCGUGAGUGAUGAAGGUCUUCGGAGCGUAAAACUCUGUUAUUAGGGAAACGGUACCUAAUCAGAAAGCCACGGCUAACUACGUGCCAGAAGCCGCGGUAAUUC